UGCCUGCAGUCUGAUUGCAGCAAUGAGAAUCAGCUGCCAUAAUUGGCUCACACCAGUCACCUGUUUGCAAUUCCACCUCCCAGCAUAUAAGCCAGCUCUGUCAUUCACUCUCUGCUCCACCAUGAGCUCUGAUGGCCUGCAUCAACUCGUGACCACCGGAGCUUCUUGGACACGAUGCUGCCCUUGUACCCCUGCCGGUUCCUGUUUGGGUUUCCUACCUACCCCUUCAGUUGAGUUUCUUCCUAUUCCCUUCCUCCCUGACUGUUCCACCUGCCUGCAGUCUGAUUGCAGCAAUGAGAAUCAGCUGCCAUAAUUGGCUCACCACCAGUCACCUGUUUGCAAUUCCACCUCCCAGCAUAUAAGCCAGCUCUGUCAUUCACUCUCUGCUCCACCAUGAGCUCUGAUGGCCUGCAUCAACUCGUGACCACCAGAGCUUCUUGGACACGAUGCUGCCCUUGUACCCCUGCCGGUUCCUGUUUGGGUUUCCUACCUACCCCUUCAGCUGAGUUUCUUCCUGUUCCCUUCCUCCCUGACUGUUCCACCUGCCUGCAGUCUGAUUGCAGCAAUGAGAAUCAGCUGCCGUAAUUGGCUCACCACCAGUCACCUGUUUGCAAUUCCACCUCCCAGCAUAUAAGCCAGCUCUGUCAUUCACUCCCUGCUCCACCAUGAAUGCGCACAUCCUGCAUCAACUCGUGACCACCAGAGCUUCUUGGACACGAUGCUGCCCUUGUACCCCUGCUGGUUCCUGUUUGGGUUUCCUACCUACCCCUUCAGCUGAGUUUCUUCCUAUUCUUUCAGCCCUUCCUCCCUGACUGUUCCACCUGCCUGCAGUCUGAUUGCAGCAAUGAGAAUCAGCUGCCAUAAUUGGCUCACCACCAGUCACCUGUUUGCAAUUCCACCUCCCAGCAUAUAAGCCAGCUCUGUCAUUCACUCCCUGCUCCACCAUGGAUGCGCACAUCCUGCAUCAACUCGUGACCACCAGAGCUUCUUGGACACGAUGCUGCCCUUGUACCCCUGCCGGUUCCUGUUUGGGUUUCCUGCCUACCCCUUCAGCUGAGUUUCUUCCCAUUACCAUCUGCUACAAAGCAUUACUGGGUAACAGAUACACCUAAUGAAGAUCAGAAAUAUUCAAGCAGAAACCUUCAGCUUCCAUGAAGAUUGAAAUCAUUCUGCCAAGAAGACCCAACAACCUUCAAAGACAAAUUGAAAAUGGGUAAGAAAUGAAAGUACACACUGUUUAGUCUAGACCAUAAUUUGUGCCAAUGUCUGUGCUUUUAGAUUCUAUCAAGAUGGGAAAAAUAAACAUUGAUAAAAGUGUAGUCUGGGUAAAAUACACCACCUGCUUAAGCAUGACUGGCUGGAUUUUUAACUGACCUGCUGAUAAAUGUUUCAAAGGUGAACACGGACCUUUCUGGAGGAUGUUGCACAAGGAGUUUUGUCAUUGUUGCCACAGUCUGGUUUCGACACCAUUCCACUUGACUCGACUCCACUCGACUCCAUUCCACUCGACUCCAUUCCACUCCACUCGACUCGACUCCAUUCCACUCGACUCCA